AUGCUGUCCUUGGAGCCAUGUCUCAACAAACAGAAUUUAUCCCUUCCUCCAUCCAUCCUAAACUACAGAUCUGACCCCACAAGCCACCCCAGCUCCAUGCCCAUGAGCAUAACCCCUCAUGAGAAGGCUGGGGCAGCAGGUGGGCUGUGCUGCUGUCAUUAUGACAUCGCCUUGCCCACCAGUGGGUGGGUGUUGCUUUGGGGAAGACAACAUCAGAUGAUGACAACUCCUGUUGUGAUGCUGGGAGCCAGGAGCAGUGUGGAAGCAGUGAUGACUCGUGCAGCUGGGAAGCAGUGCUGCUCAACCUCCAAAAUCCGAUCUCCGUCAAGAAAGCUUAAAAAGUUUAUGGCAAACAGUUGAGAAGCUGGAUGUGGAAAUAGUACUUCAACAUCAGACAUUUGCUGGCCUAUCCUGGAUCACUUCUGAGGGACACCUGUCCAACUUUGCCCACGGGCUGUGCACGCCUUGCUCCUGUCCCUUGCAGAGCUGCUGCCAUGGGCACGGAAUGCUGAGCUCAAUCCUCUUGGUGCUGAGCGUGGAAGUGGCACCUUUAAAGGCAGAGUACCGGUGUGUGCAUAAAACCAUCUCUUUUUUAUUACUCUCAUUUUGUUUUUCUUCCUGUUACUAAUCUCAUUAUGCUUAGGAGUGUAAAUUUAGGUUGGCACAAAUCUGUAUUGCUGAAAUAUUUUACCUUAAGUUCUUCGAAGCUCUCUCCAUCUGUGAGGAUAAUGCUAAGUAUUAAUUAACCAGCUAAUCCUAUGCAGUGCUUGCAAAACAUAAAACACCGUGUGGAAGCAGGUCCAAAGCGUGAUUCUGACCUCCUAACAGACUUCUUUGGGGAGAAUGAUUCAGGGUUUUCUCAUUGCACCGAGCGGUGCCAAGCCUGAUGUGAGCAGGUUUGCUGUGCUCGCACCAUGCGGUGCUGCCCUGCUCCACCCCCAUAUCUGCAUCAGCUCUGGGGGCAGUGGGCUCUGCCCUGGUGCCCUGUACCCACCCAGCUCCAUUUGCCAGUGAUGCGAGGGGUAUCGGUGCAAAAUCUGUUCAUUAGUGGAGUAAUUGAGCUUCUGAUUUCCAAUGACAGGCUGAGCCCAGAUCCGUGCUGACUUGUGUGCAACCAGCAUCCCUCAAAGAGGAGCUGUGGGGUUUGUGCGCUGUGUCAGGACGGGCAGGGGCAGAAAUCCAGUGUCUGCUUUUGUGGUGUCGAGCAAUAGGGGAAGUCUGCGUUUCUGUGCAGUGUUCUCUGCUGGGGAAAAACUCCAGAGCAGAGUGC
rnacentral:lncRNA from 1 species